ensembl:lncRNA
AAACAGUGUGGCUGAGAGCUCCUCGACGCUGGAUCGUUGAGUGACUUCCCGUCAGUCUUAGUUUAUUGUGCAAGAAACGGAUCAGAAAUUUCUGGCACCACAUCGCAGCUCCUUCCACGGAGCCAAGCAUAAGAUCUAAUGAUGAAGAAACGCCUGCGACCUUUGAGAGAGAUUGAACAUUGUGUUUUUGAGUGACAGCAGAUUACUGUUUUUGGCGAGUGAUUGAAACUCCACGUGCCGCCAUGACCACCCCGUUUCCCUGAACGUAUAUAUACGUAUGUAUAAUAAUAAGUGUUCAAUGCUUGUACACAGUGUGGGGUUUUCUAAUAUUGUCACUAAUAAAAGAUGAAUAGAAUUUAAGAUGUUUUAAAUAAAGUGGAACUGCUGCCAACCUUUGAA